GAUUACCUCAGUAACGGCGAGUGAAGCGGUAACAGCUCAAAUUUGAAAUCUGGGUCUUUCAGGCUCCGAGUUGUAAUUUGUAGAAGAUGCUUUGGGUGCGGCCCCGGUCUAAGUUCCUUGGAACAGGACGUCAUAGAGGGUGAGAAUCCCGUAUGUGAUCGGUGGCUUGCGCCCGUGUAAAGCUCUUUCGACGAGUCGGGUUGUUUGGGAAUGCAGCUCUAAAUGGGUGGUAAAUUUCAUCUAAAGCUAAAUAUUGGCCAGAGACCGAUAGCGCACAAGUAGAGUGAUCGAAAGAUGAAAAGGACUUUGGAAAGAGAGUUAAACAGUACGUGAAAUUGUUGAAAGGGAAGCGCUUGCAACCAGACUUGCGCGGGGUUGAUCAUCCGGGGUUCUCCCCGGUGCACUCGGCCUCGCUCAGGCCAGCAUCGGUUUCGGUGGUUGGAUAAAGGCCUUGGGAAUGUGACUUCUUUCGGGGAGUGUUAUAGCCCUCGGUGCAAUGCAGCCUACCGGGACCGAGGACCGCGCUUCGGCUAGGAUGCUGGCGUAAUGGUUGUAAGCGACCCGUCUUGAAACACGGACCAAGGAGUCUAACAUCUAUGCGAGUGUUUGGGUGUCAAACCCAUACGCGUAAUGAAAGUGAACGGAGGUGAGAACCCUUAAGGGUGCAUCAUCGACCGAUCCUGAUGUCUUCGGAUGGAUUUGAGUAAGAGCAUAGCUGUUGGGACCCGAAAGAUGGUGAACUAUGCCUGAAUAGGGUGAAGCCAGAGGAAACUCUGGUGGAGGCUCGCAGCGGUUCUGACGUGCAAAUCGAUCGUCAAAUUUGGGCAUAGGGGCGAAAGACUAAUC
rnacentral:rRNA from 1 species